rnacentral:rRNA from 1 species
AUACGGGGGGGGCAAGCGUUGUUCGGAAUUACUGGGCGUAAAGGGCGCGUAGGCGGCCUGGCAAGUCUUGCGUGAAAUCCCUCGGCUUAACUGAGGAACUGCGUGGGAAACUGCCUGGCUUGAGUUCGGGAGAGGGAAGCGGAAUUCCGGGUGUAGCGGUGAAAUGCGCAGAUAUCCGGAGGAACACCAGUGGCGAAGGCGGCUUCCUGGACCGACACUGACGCUGAGGCGCGAAAGCUAGGGUAGCAAACGGGAUUAGAAACCCCGGUAGUCC